ACAUCCUCUUUCCUCUUCAUAUGCAAAGUAUUUACUGCUUGGAACAUUGAGAAAUCGAUUUUGUGCCUUGGAAACAACCAAAACCACCUUCAUCAAAAUCGAUUUGGGGAAGAGGAAGAAACAAUCCAUUUCACCUCUUCCCCCUCUCCAAAUCACACCCACAUCAAAAACCCUUCACCACAACUUCUAUCAUUUCUCUUCACAAACCAAACCACCCUCACCCUCCAACUUCAACCACAACCAUGAUGUGGGAACGUGAACACGAUGAACACCAUCACCACCACCACACCACCUCAAUAAAACUUCACAGGCUUUCUCUUCUCCCAAUCUGAUUCAUCUCAUCUUCAAUGUCAUCUUCUCCACUCAAAACAUCAUCUUUUCCAUUAAACAAAACAUCAUCUUCUCCGAUUCGUAUUCGGAUUAUCAUGAUUUGUUUUUUGUUCUCUUUGUUGAUCAGAGAAGCUAACUACUACUACUACUACCACCAUGGAUGAACAACAGCGUAAAUGCGCAUCAACAGAGUUGCAUGCACUUGGAGCCGAAGAGGAGAGAGAAAAGCAUGGAUCGAAAUCGGAGCGAGAACAGUUGCUAGGGUUUUUUAUUUUGAAAUCAAUUUGUUUACCUGUUGUUCUUGUUUGUUCUUUAGUUGUUAGGGUUUUUUAUUUCAAAAAUGAUUUGCUUAUUUUUUAUAAAUUGAAACUGUUUUUGUUAUGUUUUUUAAGGUUGAAGUAUUUGGUCCUAAAAUUCAGCAGGUUAUAGGUAAAGAUCAAUCCAAUCAAAUCCUCACUGUUGUUCCUCUCUAUCUCCAAACAAAAACUCGUGCUCCUAAUGAUGCUCCUAAUGAUGCGGCGGACGCCAUGCUCUGAGAAAGCGACUUUAAGAGCUUGGAUACGAACUUAAAGACAACCAAGUUGAGAGUUUGUUUUGGCGUUUCAAAGUUGUGUCUGAGCGAAAGAAGAGGAUUAGUGAUGCUGAUUUCAGAGCAAUGGUAUCAGAUGAAGUUUUUCAGGCGGAGCCUAUAUGGAAGCUAUAAAUUUUUAACAAGCUUUCAAUGUUUUAUAUUGCCAUUUUUCUCAGCAGUGUUGCAAAGCAUUUGGAAUCAGCCAAUACUAUGUUGUCAUUUAUUUGGUGGAUUAUUGGAUUCUACUGGGUAUCAGCUGGUGGUAAAACUUUAUCCCAAGAUUCUCCUCAGCUUUACUGGUUCGGUCCAAAUUGCAGGAGCAGACUGGUUCAUUGAGUCAGUUCUGACUUUGUGAUGCAGGAUCGGUCCAAAUUGUUGUUGUGGUAGAAUGGAUAUUUCGGUUUGCUCGGAUAUUUCGGUUUGCUUCGAUAUUUCUGAAUUUUGAUUAGGUGCCUGGCUAUAAUUGGAUCAUGUACAAAUCAAAAAGGAACAACACUUCACAAAUCGGAAUUUCAUAGAAGCGGUAAGCAAACAUUGAGUUUCUUUGUAGAUCAUAAAAUCCAUUAUAUUUACAAGGUAUAGAAUUGUAUUUUUUCCUUUUUCCAUACUGUGGUGCCACUGGUGAAGCAAUGUGAAGAGGUUAUGGUGCACUUUAAGAUGGAUAACAAGUUGUUUGACACGAGUAAGAAUGUGGAGUUAACAUAUCCAGGGCAGCACAAUGAUGUAGACAUCUAUAUUGAGAGUUAUUGCUCAGCUUAUGGAGUAUCCCCUUUACAAGGCAUGAAUUUGGUUUGAGAGAGGAUGACAGAACAUUUGGUGCUGGUGUAGUAUAGAAAGUGUUGAGCUGAAGUCAUUAAAAACAGUACGACAUCGAUUCGUCG